rnacentral:rRNA from 1 species
AAGUCUGGUGCCAGCAGCCGCGGUAAUUCCAGCUCCAAUAGCGUAUAUUAAAAUUGUUGCGGUUAAAACGCUCGUAGUUGGAUAUCUGUGAGCGGGUUCCGGUCCUUCCCAGUGAAGAUUACACGGAACUCUGCUCGCAUUUGUUCAGGGAGGGUGGAUGCACUUCACUGUGUGACCACAUGAUCUGAAUUUUUACUUUGAGGAAAUGAGAGUGUUCCAAGCAGGCAAUUGCCGUGAAUAUGAUAGCAUGGAAUAAUAGCACAGGACUCUUGGUUCAAUGCUGUUGGUUUGUUGAACUAGAGUAAUCACAAUA